rnacentral:rRNA from 1 species
UCGCCUGUUUUUCAAAAACAUCUCUUCUUGACAUCUUAAAGACAGGAAGUAGGCCCUGCCCGGUGACCUAGCGGUUAAACGGCGGUUAGUUCCUUGAAGUAGCGUAGUAAUUUGGCCUUUAAUUGGGGUCUAGUAUGAAUGGGUUGACGUCAGAGUAACUUUCUUAUGGGAGAGCCCUGAAAUUUACUUUCUAGUUAAAAGGCUAGGUUUGCAUUAAAAGACGAGAAGACCCUGUCGAGCUUGUUGACUUAUUUUGCAAGCGCGAGAGAGGUAGAUUUGUUGGGGCAACAGCGGAGAAAGUUAAACCUCUGUUUAUUUAGGUUAAAGGUCCUUCAUUUGUGGAGAUAAGAGUUAGCUACCGCAGGGAUAACAGCGCGAGAUUACCCGGAAGGUCAUAUUUAGGGUGAUAGUUGCGACCUCGAUGUUGGAUUAGGGUAUCUCCCUGGCGCAGCCGCUGGGGUGGAGGGUCUGUUCGCCCCUUAAACCUCUACAUGAUCUGAGUUCAAACCGGAG